GGGGCUAUAGCUCAGCUGGGAGAGCGCCUGCCUUGCACGCAGGAGGUCAGCGGUUCGAUCCCUCUUAGCUCCA
rnacentral:tRNA from 1 species